rnacentral:rRNA from 1 species
GCGACGACGGGUAGCCGGCCUGAGAGGGUGACCGGCCACACUGGGACUGAGACACGGCCCAGACUCCUACGGGAGGCAGCAGUGGGGAAUAUUGCGCAAUGGGCGAAAGCCUGACGCAGCGACGCCGCGUGAGGGAUGACGGCCUUCGGGUUGUAAACCUCUUUCAGCAGGGACGAAGCGAAAGUGACGGUACCUGCAGAAGAAGCA